rnacentral:rRNA from 1 species
UGCAAGUCGAACGAAGCAUUGCGGAACGGAGAUUCGUCGAAGGGAAGCUCUGACUUAGUGGCGGACGGGUGAGUAAUGUGUGAGCAACCUGCCUUUCAGAGGGGGACAACAGUUGGAAACGACUGCUAAUACCGCAUAACAUAUACGGGUGGCAUCGCCUGUAUAUCAAAGGAGCAAUCCGCUGAAAGAUGGGCUCACAUAUGAUUAGCUAGUUGGUGAGGUAACGGCUCACCAAGGCGACGAUCAGUAGCCGGACUGAGAGGUUGAACGGCCACAUUGGGACUGAGAUACGGCCCAGACUCCUACGGGAGGCAGCAGUGGGGAAUAUUGGGCAAUGGGCGAAAGCCUGACCCAGCAACGCCGCGUGAAGGAAGAAGGUCUUCGGAUUGUAAACUUCUUUUAUGAGGGACGAAGGACGUGACGGUACCUCAUGAAUAAGCCACGGCUAACUACGUGCCAGCAGCCGCGGUAAUACGUAGGUGGCAAGCGUUAUCCGGAUUUACUGGGUGUAAAGGGCGCGUAGGCGGGGAUACAAGUCAGAUGUGAAAUCUAUGGGCUCAACCCAUAAACUGCGUUUGAAACUGCAUCUCUUGAGUGCUGGAGAGGUAGACGGAAUUCCUUGUGUAGCGGUGAAAUGCGUAGAUAUAAGGAAGAACACCAGUGGCGAAGGCGGUCUACUGGACAGUAACUGACGCUGAGUGCGCGGAAAGCGUGGGGAGCAAACAGGAUUAGAUAACCCUGGGUAAGUCCACGCUGUAAACCGAUGAAUACUAGGUGUGGGGGGACUGACCCCCUCCGUGCCGCAGUUAACACAAUAAGUAUUCCACCUGGGGAGUACGGCCGCAAGGUUGAAACUCAAAGGAAUUGACGGGGCCCGCACAAGCAGUGGAUUAUGUGGUUUAAUUCGAAGCAACGCGAAGAACCUUACCAGGGCUUGACAUUCCUCCCUAACGAAGAGAAGAGAUGCAUUAGGUGCCCUUUCGGGAAAG